GUAAGGGUGGCAAUACCACAUCAUGCCACCCUCACUUCUGCGCUGCUGCUAGUGGCGGCACUGCCUUCAGUGCUGGGCUCCCAGCCAGCAAUUGCCGCUUUCUGGCUGCCCAGCUCUGUGAAAUCUGGUCUCUCCUACAAUAGUCCAAUUUCAUGGGGGAGAUCAGAUUUCAUGGUCCGUGAUGCAUUUUUCAUGGCCAUGAAUUUGGUAGGGCCCUACUUAUACAGCUCUCCAUUUAUAUUCUCUUUCUCCUACAUAAUCAGUGGGGCUGAUUCUUCCUUUGUCUCUUAACCAUGGUCCAUGCAGGCUAAUGAUGGUGACAGAGGGUCAGGGUUGAUUUCAGAUGGAACCUCAGCAGUGGAAGCACAGACAGGAAAAGGAAGGCGGUCAGAGGAGCAGAGGACAAAUGUGAACUCCAAACGAGACUCGGACAUCACUUACAUGGGUGUAAAAAAACUCCAGGGGUCUAAAAUCCUUCCACUGCAAGGUAAGAAACAAACAAUUUUUUGCAAUAAAGUUUGUGUGUUUGUGUAACACCAUAGAAGGGUUGACUCAUGGCUGGUGCGCCCCCUUAUGGCUGGAUGUGGGAGUAGCAGACUCU
rnacentral:lncRNA from 1 species